GUUUAACCAUCGACAAGGUAAAUCCACAACUUUGUCCAAAUUCGGCGCCAUUUUGUCAUCCCAUGUCGCUUGUUAGCAAUUCAGCCUUGUUACUCUUCCAUCCAAGCCAUUUCCAUUCCACUAAUAAUAAAUUUAACCCUUUAUAACAGGAGGAAACUAAAAAAUCUAAACAAAAUAUAAGAAAUACGCCAUUUUAUCACCAUGUAAAAUUUUGCUCACGAGUCUUUCAAAACAUUCCGUACAAAUAUCGCGUGACAAAGUAACAGGGACGUGACAGGAGGGGGUGAACUAUUUCACGAAGAUAGAAGAAGGCUGCGUGAAAUAGACUAAAAGCUAAAUACAAUCAUACAAAUGUUUGUUUUAUUUCUUGUAGCGACAAAUAUAUACAUAUUAUUAUUUAUUAAUAUAAAAAAG